rnacentral:lncRNA from 1 species
CGCGCAUGCCCCCACGCUCGGAGCACCCAACGCCGACUCGUCGCCACUGUGUGUCCUGGCCGCCUUGUGACCGUUACAAUGGGCAUGUUGGUCCAUGCGCAGAUGCCCACUGUCACGUUCACUGGGCGGACGUGGCGCCCGCAACCGCCGGACAGCGAGGUGAAUAUGGCAACCACCACCGCCGUCGCCGCCACAACAGCAGCCUCGUUUUUGCCUGAAUCGCGGCAGCCUGCAGCAUCCGCCGCCCGGGGCAGCGGUCAACCUGCGGCGCGCGCGAUCUGCCCUGCGCCGGGAGACUACCCCCCCACCCACGCUUCUGCUUGCCACAUGACGUGAGCCGACUUGCCACGGAAGUCAUCGACGGCGUCACAGGCAUCAGCAAACCCAAAAGAAAAGACAAGAAAACAUGCGUGUCUUCUAAAGGUGAAGCCCCAGUGCUGUACGACGCUGGCAGACGUAUGUGACUCGUUGAACAGAAAAAUUCAGCGCAGUGAUAUACAGCUGCGUUGACGAAAAAAAAA